rnacentral:vault_RNA from 1 species
GUGCAGGCUUUGCUGAGUGGUUACUUCGCAUUUGGCAGUUACCUUCCGUUCGGACACGCACAUGAGACCGCUAGCGCCAUCCUGUACUUUU